AUUGAACGCUGGCGGCAGGCCUAACACAUGCAAGUCGAACGAGUCGCGGACGGGUGAGUAAUGUCUGGGACACUGCCUGCUGGUGGGGGAUAACUACUGGAAACGGUCGCUAAUACCGCAUACCAUCGGAUGUGCCCAGAUGGGAUUAGCUAGUAGGUGGGGUAAAGGCUCACCUAGGCGACGAUCCCUAGCUGGUCUGAGAGGAUGACGAGCCACACUGGAAAUGAGAAACGGUCCAGACUCCUACGGGAGGCAGCAGUGGGGAAUAAUGCACAAUGGGCGAAAGCCUGAUGCAGCCAGGCCGAGUGUAUGAAGAAGGACUUCGGGUUGUAAAGUACUUUCAGCGGGGAGGCGGUAGCCGCAGAAGAAGCACCGGCUAACUCCGUGCCAGCAGCCGCGGUAAUUC
rnacentral:rRNA from 1 species